rnacentral:rRNA from 1 species
CUGCUGCCUUCCGUAGGAGUUUGGACCGUGUCUCAGUUCCAAUGUGGGGGACCUUCCUCUCAGAGCCCCUACUGAUCGUCGCCCCGGUGGGCCGUUACCCCGCCGGCAAGCUAAUCAGACGCAUCCCCAUCCUUUACCGGCCGAAGCCUUUGGUCAUGAAAAUAUGCAUCAACAUGACAACAUACGGUAUUAAUCCGCCUUUCGACGGGCUGUCCCAUAGUAAAGGGCAGGUUGGAUACGCGUUACUCACCCGUGCGCCGGUCGCCA